GAUGAACGCUGGCGGCGUGCCUAAUACAUGCAAGUCGAGCGAACAGACGAGGAGCUUGCUCCUCUGACGUUAGCGGCGGACGGGUGAGUAACACGUGGAUAACCUACCUAUAAGACUGGGAUAACUUCGGGAAACCGGAGCUAAUACCGGAUAAUAUAUUGAACCGCAUGGUUCAAUAGUGAAAGACGGUUUUGCUGUCACUUAUAGAUGGAUCCGCGCCGCAUUAGCUAGUUGGUAAGGUAACGGCUUACCAAGGCAACGAUGCGUAGCCGACCUGAGAGGGGGAUCGGCCACACUGGAACUUAGAAACGGUCCAGACUCCUAAGGGAGGCAGCAGGAGGGAAUCUUCCGCAAUGGGCGAAAGCCUGGCGGAGCAACGCCGCGUGAGUGAUGGAGGUCUUCCGAUCGUAAAACUCUGUUAUUAGGGAAGAACAAAUGUGUAAGUAACUAUGCACGUCUUGACGGUACCUAAUCAGAAAGCCACGGCUAACUACGUG
rnacentral:rRNA from 1 species